AUUGAACGCUGGCGGCAGGCCUAACACAUGCAAGUCGAGCGAGCGGCGGACGGGUGAGUAAUGUAUGGGGACUGCCCGAUAGAGGGGGAUAACCACUGGAAACGGUGGCUAAUAACGCAUCCUAUCGGAUAACCCAUAUGGGAUUAGCUAGUAGGUGGGGUAAAGGCUCACCUAGGCGACGAUCUCUAGCUGGUCUGAGGGGAGGAUUAGCCACACGGGGACUGAUACACGGCCCAGACACCUACGGAGGCAGCAGUGGGGAAUAUUGCACAAUGGGCGCAAGCCUGAUGCAGCCAGGCCGCGUGUAUUGAGAAGGCCCUAGGGUUGUAAAGUACUUUCAGUCGGGAGGCGUUACCGACAGAAGAAGCACCGGCUAACUACGUGCCAGCAGCCGCGGUAAUAC
rnacentral:rRNA from 1 species